ACGGACAAUCUCUCUUUGUCCUUGCUGUUCAAGGCACGCGAAGUGGAAGGGGAUGACUUUUCUAGGUGUUUGUCCAGCGCGUCGUUUAUGCGCUUUCGAUCGAUCUCCGAUUUCGAUGAGACACCACCAACUCCUCCUCGUUCUUUAUACAUAAUUCCGUUCCCUCUCAAUUUGAAAACACCAAUUUUUUUGGAAAAUUUUUCACUCUUUGAGAGCCAACAUGGUGACACAGAUAAUUAUAAAUUAAGAAAUGCAAAGAAAACCCUAGGUAUGAGGAAAUUAGGGUAUUGGGUGGAGUGGAAGAAUGAAGAGAGAUCGAGAGAGAGAAAACUCAGAUGCGGUGCAGAAGAUGAAUAUGAUAAAGAAAGUGGAUUGAAUGAAAGGGAAGGGUUUAAGGAGGGAGACGGUGAAAACUAGGGUUCUCUUCGCGGUAGAAAGGAGAGAUUCACACGCAUGAGCUCCUCAAUGUUCUCCCUUUCUCUCUUAUUUUCUUGUCAUCCUCUCCCUCUUU
rnacentral:misc_RNA from 1 species